rnacentral:rRNA from 1 species
CCCUUAGAUGUUCUGGGCUGCACGCGCGCUACACUGAUGCGCUCAACGAGUUUACGACCUUGCCCGGAAGGGUUGGGUAAUCUUUUUAAAACGCAUCGUGAUGGGGAUAGAUUAUUGCAAUUAUUAAUCUUUAACGAGGAAUUCCUAGUAAGCGCGAGUCAUCAGCUCGUGCUGAUUACGUCCCUGCCCUUUGUACACACCGCCCGUUGCUCCUACCGAUUGAGUGAUCCGGUGAAUAAUUCGGACUGCAGCAGUGUUCAGUUCCUGAACGUUGCAGCGGAAAGUUUAGUGAACCUUAUCACUUAGAGGAAGGAGAAGUCGUAACA